GACAGAGGUCCCAAGCGUUAGGCGGAAUCACUGGGCUUAAAGCGUGUGUAGGCGGAUUUGUAAGUACCUUGUGAAAUCCCACGGCUCAACCGUGGAACUGCUUGGUAUACUGCUUAUCUUGGGUCAUCUAGGGGCGAGCGGAACAAACGGUGGAGCGGUGAAAUGCGUAGAUAUCGUUUGGAACGCCAAUGGUGGAAACAGCUCGCUGGGGAUGUACCGACGCUGAGACACGAAGCCAGGGGAGCGAACGGG
rnacentral:rRNA from 1 species